rnacentral:tRNA from 1 species
GGAGAGCUGGUAGAGUGGUCGAUUACACCAGUCUUGAAAACUGGCAGGCCUUUACGGGCCUCGAGGGUUCGAAUCCCUCGCUCUCCGCCA